CACACCAUGGGAUGGAGUUGUAUCAUUCUCUUCCUUUUGUCAGCAACUAAAGGUGUCCACUCCCAGGUACAGCUGCAUCAGUCAGGGCCUGAACUAGGAAAACCUGGGACCUCAGUGAAGUUGUCCUGCAAGACCUCAGGCUUCACCUUCACUAGCAACUAUGUUAGCUGGUUGAAGCAGAGGCCUGGACAGAGUCUGGAGUGGAUUGGAUUGAUUUAUCCUGGAAAUGGUAAUACUAAGUACAAUGAGAAGUUCCAGGGCAAGGCCACACUGACUGCAGACAAAUCCUCCAGCACAGCCUACAUGGAGCUCAGCAGCCUGACAUCAGAAGACUCUGCAGUCUAUUUCUGUGCAAAACACAGUGUUGCAACCACAUCCUGA